UCAGCCAAUCCAACGGCUGAUAAUAAAGAGUUUACAAACUCACAUUAGUGGACUUGAAGCACCAUAUUGUGUCCUCUUCUUCUUCCCUUCCCUUCUCUCUCCCCUUCUCUGUAAGAACCCAGAAAUGGUGGAGAUGGAGCAGGAAGAAGAGAAGGAGGGAAUGACCGUAAUCGAAGGAAAAGAAGCUAUCGGAUUGAGAAUCGUAAACAUGUUUGUGGCGAUGGGUUUAUGGCUUGGAGCUAUUCAUUUCAACGUGGCUUUGAUUCUCUUCACUGUGUUCUUCCUUCCUAUUUCCAAGGCCAUAUUGGUAUUUGGGUUGCUUGUGUUGUUUAUGAUAAUCCAAGUUGAUGAUAAGAGCAAAUAGGAAGAAAAGUGGCCAGAGAAGGGGAGAGAGAAGGGAAGGGAAGGGAAGGGAAGAAGAAGAAGACAUGAUAUGGUGCUUCAAGUCCUCCAAUGUGAGUUUGUAAACUCUUUAUUAUCAGCCGUUGGAUUAGCUGAUGUUGAUGUGACAGCUUAAUAGUAAAUUAUAGCAGAUCAUAGCAAAAAGAAAUUAUAGCUGAGAAGACAAAGGAUGUGAACUUGCGAAGGAAUUAGUGUUUUAGACCGUCUCUGCACUAUUCAUAAGGAAAAAGACAAACAAAAUAAACAGUGAUAUAACGUUUGCACUUUAGAACAGAGAACUAAGAAAAGUUGCGCAUCCUCAUAGCUAGAGACUAGUGCAAAGGAGAAUCUCUCUCUCUCUUCUAGGUAUGACUUGAAAUAUUUUACCUAUAUUUUCUCUAAGAGCUCAUGUUCUUCUGUAUUUAGUCGUGUCACAUCUCUUGCCAUCUUCAUGCAAGUCCAAAUUCAAUCAUCAACACAAGGUGGAACGAAUUAGUUCAUGUUAGUCUCUAUCAGAAUGUGAUUCAUCAAAGACGCAGAGACAUCAUUCCACACAAGAAAAAAAGAGAAUAUGUACUCUCCAUCAUAUCACACCGGCCCGCUCCAAUGAUCGAUGUCUAAUACAUGUUAAGCCUAACGACCAUAGAAUUUGAACACCGGCCCUGUAAUGGAUAGGGAC